UCCCGGUUAACCCGGGCAGUCUCAUUAGAGUUCCCACCUUAAAUGUUGGCAACUAAUGAUAAGGGUUGCGCUCGUUGCGGGACUUAACCCAACACCUCACGGCACGAGCUGACGACAGCCAUGCAGCACCUGUGUAGCGGUCCCGAAGGAAGGUACCAUCUCUGGUACUGUCCACUACAUGUCAAACCUGGGUAAGGUUCUUCGCGUUGCAUCGAAUUAAACCACAUGCUCCACUGCUUGUGCGGGUCCCCGUCAAUUCUUUUGAGUUUCACCCUUGCGAGCGUACUCCCCAGGCGGUAUACUUAUCGCGUUAGCUACGGCACAGCCAGGGUUGAUUCCGGCUACACCAAGUAUACAUCGUUUACAGCAAGGACUAC
rnacentral:misc_RNA from 1 species